rnacentral:tRNA from 1 species
GCCUUCAUGGUGUAGUGGUCAGCACGCUCGACGCGCAACCGAGAGGUCCGUGGUUCGAAUCUCGGCUUGGGCA